rnacentral:rRNA from 1 species
AACGAACGCUGGCGGCAUGCCUAACACAUGCAAGUCGAACGAGACCUUCGGGUCUAGUGGCGCACGGGUGCGUAACGCGUGGGAACCUGCCCUUAGGUUCGGAAUAACUCCCCGAAAGGGGUGCUAAUACCGGAUAAUGUCUUCGGACCAAAGAUUUAUCGCCUUUGGAUGGGCCCGCGUUGGAUUAGCUAGUUGGUAGGGUAAAAGCCUACCAAGGCGACGAUCCAUAGCUGGUCUGAGAGGAUGAUCAGCCACACUGGGACUGGGACACGGCCCAGACUCCUACGGGAGGCAGCAGUGGGGAAUAUUGGACAAUGGGCGAAAGCCUGAGCCAGCAAUGCCGCGUGAGUGAUGAAGGCCUUAGGGUUGUAAAGCUCUUUUACCCGGGAUGAUAAUGACAGAACCGGGAGAAUAAGCUCCGGCUAACUCCGU